UUUCAGUUCUGAUAAUUGGUAACAUAGUUCUUUCUAGAGUGUGAUGAUCUGUGUACUCCAUAUUAUGAAUAUUCAAAGCAAUGCUGUGGUCUGCACCUCCAAUGCUGCUGAAGAAAUAGAGAUUGCGAACAGUACAGAAGAAAACCAUGUUUAUG